rnacentral:rRNA from 1 species
AGUGAACGCUGGCGGUAGGCCUAACACAUGCAAGUCGAACGGCAGCACAGUAAGAGCUUGCUCUUACGGGUGGCGAGUGGCGGACGGGUGAGGAAUACAUCGGAAUCUACUUUUUCGUGGGGGAUAACGUAGGGAAACUUACGCUAAUACCGCAUACGACCUACGGGUGAAAGCAGGGGAUCUUCGGACCUUGCGCGAUUGAAUGAGCCGAUGUCGGAUUAGCUAGUUGGCGGGGUAAAGGCCCACCAAGGCGACGAUCCGUAGCUGGUCUGAGAGGAUGAUCAGCCACACUGGAACUGAGACACGGUCCAGACUCCUACGGGAGGCAGCAGUGGGGAAUAUUGGACAAUGGGCGUAGGCCUGAUCCAGCCAUACCGCGUGGGUGAAGAAGGCCUUCGGGUUGUAAAGCCCUUUUGUUGGGAAAGAAAAGCAGCAGGUUAAUACCCCGCUGUUCUGACGGUACCCAAAGAAUAAGCACCGGCUAACUUCGUG